UACGAAGGGGGCUAGCGUUGUUCGGAAUCACUGGGCGUAAAGGGCGCGUAGGCGGCUUUGUAAGUCGGGGGUGAAAGCCUGUGGCUGCAACCACAGAAUUGCCCUUCGAUACUGCAUGGCUUGAGACCGGAAGAGGUUAGUGGAACUGCGAGUGUAGAGGUGAAAUUCGUAGAUAUUCGCAAGAACACCAGUGGCGAAGGCGGC
rnacentral:rRNA from 1 species